GCGGAUGUAGCUCAGUGGUAGAGCGCCUGCUUGCCAAGCAGGAGGUCGUGGGUUCGACCCCCAUCAUCCGCUCCA
rnacentral:tRNA from 1 species